UUCUCAGGUAUCGCGGCAAUGGAAUGAACCUCUCUGUUCUGGUCUCUCCGCUUUCCUUCCAAGAUGUGAGCAGUUGAUAGGUGCGACGACUCCAGAGAAUUCAACCCAAUACAGGCAACGCUAAUAGGAAUGACAUGGGGCAUCUAAAGAUGAGGAGCAGUAAGAACCUUGAAACAAGGAAAAUCCCUGAAGUAAGGACCAUGAAUGGACCUGUAACUGGCACCUUAUCAACCUUGAAAGGUUGAGCUUCACCAAGAAUGUUCAAGUUCUUUGUUGACAACUGAGUAAAAAGACAAUAAAUGCAAGCAACGUACUGAAACAC